rnacentral:tRNA from 3 species
GUUUUCGUAGUUGAAUAACAGCGAUAGCUUUUCAAGCUAUUGGUCCAGGUUAGAGUCCUGGCGGAAAUA